CACGCCGUAAACGAUGAGUACUAGGUGUAGGAGGUAUCGACCCCUUCUGUGCCGCAGUAAACACAAUAAGUACUCCGCCUGGGAAGUACGAUCGCAAGAUUAAAACUCAAAGGAAUUGACGGGGGCCCGCACAAGCAGCGGAGCAUGUGGUUUAAUUCGAAGCAACGCGCAGAACCUUACCAGGGCUUGAAUGUGGAGGCUGUAGGCAGAGAUGUCUAUUUCUUCGGACCUCCAACACAGGUGC
rnacentral:rRNA from 1 species